GGAGGAAAAGAAACCAACAGGGAUUGCCUCAGUAACGGCGAGUGAAGCGGCAACAGCUCAAAUUUGAAAUCUGGAGCCUUCGGCUUCCGAGUUGUAAUUUGAAGAGGAUGUUUCGGUUGCGACCUGGGCCUAAGUUCCUUGGAACAGGACGUCAUGGAGGGUGAGAAUCCCGUACAUGGCUGCAGGUUUGCUUCUAUGUGAAACUCCUUCGAAGAGUCGAGUUGUUUGGGAAUGCAGCUCAAAAUGGGUGGUAAAUUUCAUCUAAAGCUAAAUAUUGGCGGGAGACCGAUAGCGCACAAGUAGAGUGAUCGAAAGAUGAAAAGCACUUUGAAAAGAGAGUUAAACAGUACGUGAAAUUGUUGAAAGGGAAGCGCUUGCAAUCAGACUCGCCUUCAGCUGAUCAACCUUCCUUCUGGUUGGUGCACUCUGCUGUUGGCGGGCCAGCAUCAGUUGGGGCGGUGGGAUAAAGGCGGCAGGAAUGUGGCUCGCUUCGGUGAGUGUUAUAGCCUGUCGUGCCAUGCCACCAGUCCCGACUGAGGUCCGCGGUUUCUGCCUAGGAUGCUGGCUUAAUGGUUGUAAGCGACCCGUCUUGAAACACGGACCAAGGAGUCUAACAUCUAUGCGAGUCUUUGGGUGUAAAACCCAUGGGCGGAAUGAAAGUGAACGGAGGUGGGAGUCUUCGGAUGCACCAUCGACCGAUCCUGAUGUUCUCGGAUGGAUUUGAGUAUGAGCAUAGCUGUUGGGACCCGAAAGAUGGUGAACUAUGCCUGAAUAGGGUGAAGCCAGAGGAAACUCUGGUGGAGGCUCGCAGCGGUUCUGACGUGCAAAUCGAUCGUCAAAUUUGGGUAUAGGGGCGAAAGACUAAUCGAACCAUCUAGUAGCUGGUUCCUAAAGGA
rnacentral:rRNA from 1 species